rnacentral:rRNA from 1 species
GGGCCCGCACAAGCGGCGGAGCAUGCGGAUUAAUUCGAUGCAACGCGAAGAACCUUACCUGGGUUUGACAUAUGGCGGAAAGCUGCAGAGAUGUAGCCCCCGCAAGGUCGGUAUACAGGUGGUGCAUGGCUGUCGUCAGCUCGUGUCGUGAGAUGUUGGGUUAAGUCCCGCAACGAGCGCAACCCUCGUCCUAUGUUGCCAGCACGUAAUGGUGGGGACUCAUAGGAGACUGCCGGGGUCAACUCGGAGGAAGGUGGGGAUGACGUCAAGUCAUCAUGCCCCUUAAGUCCAGGGCUUCACGCAUGCUACAAUGGCUGGUACAAAGGGCUGCGAUACCGCAAGGUGGAGCGAAUCCCAAAAAGCCAGUCUCAGUUCGGAUUGGGGUCUGCAACUCGACCCCAUGAAGUCGGAGUCGCUAGUAAUCGCAGA